CAGUAGCCGCGGGAAUACGGAGGGUGCGAGCGUUAAUCGGAAUUACUGGGCGUAAAGAGUGCGUAGGUGGUUAAUUAAGUCAUCUGUGAAAUUCCUGGGCUUAACCUGGGCAGGUCAGAUAAUACUGGUUAACUCGAGUAUGGGAGAGGGUAGUGGAAUUUCUGGUGUAGCGGUGAAAUGCGUAGAGAUCGGAAGGAACACCAGUGGCGAAGGCGGCUACCUGGCCUAAUACUGACACUGAGGCACGAAAGCGUGGGGAGCAAACAGGAUUAGAUACCCCUGUAGUCCCUGUCUCUUAUAC
rnacentral:rRNA from 1 species